AUUGAACGCUGGCGGCAGGCCUAACACAUGCAAGUCGAACGGUAACAGGAAGCAGCUUGCUGCUUCGCUGACGAGUGGCGGCCGGGUGAGUAAUGUCUGGGAAGCUGCCUGAUGGAGGGGGAUAACUACUGGAAACGGUAGCUAAUACCGCAUAAUGUCGCAAGACCAAAGAGGGGGACCUUCGGGCCUCUUGCCAUCGGAUGUGCCCAGAUGGGAUUAGCUUGUUGGUGGGGUAACGGCUCACCAAGGCGACGAUCCCUAGCUGGUCUGAGAGGAUGACCAGCCACACUGGGACUGAGACACGGUCCAGACUCCUACGGGAGGCAGCAGUUGGGAAUAUUGCACAAUGGGCGCAAGCCUGAUGCAGCCAUGCCGCGUGUAUGAAGAAGGCCUUCGGGUUGUAAAGUACUUUCAGCGGGGAGGAAGGGAGUAAAGUUAAUACCUUUGCUCAUUGACGUUACCCGCAGAAGAAGCACCGGCUAACUCCGUG
rnacentral:rRNA from 1 species